GCCACAUCUAAGACACUAAUAUUAAAUAGCAUAGUAGACUCUAACUAGUGAAUUGAGAGAGAUUGCCUCAGCCUCCGGAGUAGCUGGGACUACAGGCGUCCUCCACCAUGCCCGGCUAAUUUUUUUGUAUUUUUAGUAGAGACGGGGCUUCACCGUGUUAGCCGGGAUGAUCUCGAUUUCCUGACCUCAUGAUCUGCCCACCUCAGAGUCCCAAAGUGCUGGGAUUACAGGCGUGAGCCACGGCGCCCCGCCUCUAUACCAUACUUUUAAACAUUUAUUUUAGUGUACUCCUCUUUAUUUAAAAAAUGUUACCUGUAAAACAGCCUUAGGCUGGUCCUUUAGGAGAUAUUCCAGAAGAAGGCAUUGUUAUCAUAGGAGAUGACAGCUCCAUGUGUUAUUACCCCAGAGACCUAGUGGGACAAGAUGUGGAGUUGAAAGACAGUGAU
rnacentral:lncRNA from 1 species